UAUUGGUGCGGGGAGGAGCCAAGAUGGCCGAAUAUGAACAGCUCCUGUCUACAGCUCCCAGCGUGAGCAACGAAGAAGACGGGUGAUUUCAGCAUUUCCAUCUGAGUUAAAAUCCUGGAUAUGGAGUCCGAGAUAUGGAAGGCCAAUUGGCUGCCAAAGAAAUGGGAGAGACAACACGUGCGGUGGCUUCAAAGGAGGAGGGAGAGUUGAGUUUAAACUAAUGAAGUAAAGGCAGGGAUGGGAGACUGAAAGGAAGGAAGACGCUGACACUUCUUCAGUGUGAUUGUAUGCCAUACACUGUGCUGGGUGCUGUUAAUACAACAACGCUUCUGGCUAUGUACUGUUUAACCCCAUUAGAAAUAAAGCAACAGGAGUUCAGAGAA